GAUGAACGCUAGCGGCAGGCCUAAUACAUGCAAGUCGAGGGGUAGAGUUGGAGCAAUCUGACUUGAGACCGGCGCACGGGUGCGUGACACGUAUGCAAUCUACCUUUUACUGGGGUAUAGCUCAGAGAAAUCUGAAUUAAUCCCCCAUAAGACCCCACUGUGGCAUCACAGAGAGGUUAAAGCUCCGGCGGUAAAAGAUGAGCAUGCGGUGUAUUAGCUAGUUGGUGAGGUAAUGGCUCACCAAGGCUACGAUACAUAGGGGUUCUGAGAGGAUGAUCCCCCACACUGGUACUGAGACACGGACCAGACUCCUACGGGAGGCAGCAGUAGGGAAUAUUGGUCAAUGGACGCAAGUCUGAACCAGCCAUGCCGCGUGCAGGAAGACGGCCCUAUGGGUUGUAAACUGCUUUUAUAUAGGAAGAAACCCCUGGAUGCGUUCGGGGCUGACGGUACUAUAUGAAUAAGGAUCGGCUAACUUCGUGCCAGCCGCCGCUGUAA
rnacentral:rRNA from 1 species